rnacentral:rRNA from 1 species
AGAGAUGGAUUCGUGCUCGAAAGAGAGCCAUAACACAGGUGCUGCAUGGCUGUCGUCAGCUCGUGUCGUGAGAUGUUGGGUUAAGUCCCGCAACGAGCGCAACCCUUGUCAUUAGUUGCUACAUUCAGUUGGGCACUCUAAUGAGACUGCCGGUGACAAACCGAAGGAAGGUGGGGAUGACGUCAAGUCCUCAUGGCCCUUAUAGGUGGGGCUACACACGUCAUACAAUGGCCGGUACAAAGGGUCGCAAACCCGCGAGGGGGAGCCAAUCCAUCAAAGCCGGUCGUAGUCCGGAUCGCAGUCUGCAACUCGACUGCGUGAAGUCGGAAUCGCUAGUAAUCGUGGAUCAGCAUGUCACGGUGAAUACGUUCCCGGGUCUU